CCUCCUGUCUAAGGACACCAAUAACAUCAAUCAUCUUCAGUUUUGAAAGACUUACGGCAACUACGUUUUUCUUCGUGACUUCACGAAGCGCCUAUCGCUCAGUUGGUCAGAGCACCCGCCUGAUCAGCGCGACGUCGGUGGUUCACGUCCAUUUAGGCCCACCAGAGUUAUCGGUUUCGUAAGAGCACAAAUUCUUUGAAAAUUACGUAAAUGAUAGUUAUCUAUCCGGAACAUUACAGG
rnacentral:misc_RNA from 1 species